UACAGAGGUCUCGAGCGUUGUUCGGAUUCAUUGGGCGUAAAGGGUGCGUAGGUGGCGCUGUAAGUCGGGUGUGAAAUCCUGAGGCUUAACCUCGGAACUGCAUUCGAUACUGCGGCGCUUGAGGACUGGAGAGGAGACUGGAAUUCAUGGUGUAGCAGUGAAAUGCGUAGAGAUCAUGAGGAAGACCGGUGGCGAAGGCGGUUCUCUGGGCCUUACCUGACACUGAGGAGCGAAAGCGUGGGGAGCGAACAGG
rnacentral:rRNA from 1 species